rnacentral:rRNA from 1 species
GACGAACGCUGGCGGCGUGCCUAAUACAUGCAAGUCGAACGCAGUGGGGACGGGUGAGUAACACGUGGGUAACCUCCCAUCAGAGGGGAUAACACUUGGAAACAGGUGCUAACCCGAUACGGCUGGAUGGACCCGCGGUGCAUUAGCUAGUUGGUGAGGUAACGGCUAACCAAGGCCACGAUGCAUAGCUGAACUGAGAGGGUGAUCGGUAACGCUGUGACUGAGACACGGCCAAGACUCCUACGGGAGGCAGCAGUGGGGAAUCUUCGGCAAUGGACGAAAGUCUGACCGAGCAACGCCGCGGGAGUGAAGAGGGUUUUCGGAUCGUAAAGCUCUGUUGGUAGAGAAGCGUUAUCUAACCAGAAAGCCACGGCUAACUCCGUGCCAGCAGCCGCGGUAAUAC